AACCUUAUUCUGGUAGCAGGCGAGGCAGCGACACUUCGCUGGCCAAAAUCCUGUCUUCAACUCCAGCUGAAGAUUUCAGUACUGAAAAUUCCAGUGCAGGUCUGGCGCUGGUCCUUAAGUGGCUUCGCCCUACAUAUGCCUCAUCUGGUUUAUCUUCUUCCAAGGCUUUGAGAGCUGGGGCGAAGUUCAAAAGUCCAGUGCGGGCAUUUGCCCGCACUGGACUGUGA
rnacentral:lncRNA from 1 species